AUGGGGGGGGGGAGGCUCUUAGUCUGGUGAUUUUUUUCCAUAAAAAUCUCUUAUUGAAUAAAUACUGAACAAAGAGAAGAACAUCACUGAGAAGGAAUCAUAAACAUCUAUCUCAUAGUAGUACUGCCAGUAUUGAGCUUAGAAAAUUCAUUCAGUGGCUCCUUUUAAAUAGUCUGUUAUUUAAAAUUUUGUUCCUAUUCUCUUUCAAAGCAAUUAUUCUCAACCACUAGGAAAUAUCUAAGUGGUUUUGCCAUAUUGCUUUUUAUGUAUUCUAUUUUUUAAAAAAAUAUUUCUUAGCUAAUAUCCCUAAUGGAGUAACUCCACUUCUAAAAGAAAACACUCUAUCUUGGCUAGUUUUCAGGUGAAUUCUCCUUGAAAAAUGUGUUGAAUGGUUGCGCUUUAUAGAUGAGCAAAGGGAUAUUGCUAAGUGGCAAAUACUCCCCUUUAGAAAGGGGAAGGAAGAGAUUUAAUGCGGCAAGUAAUACUUAGUAAAAAAUAUUUUCAGAUUAUAGCAGAUGUUUAUACAAGCUCUUUACAUGCCAAUGUUUCUAUGUCAUGUUAGAGGAAACGUUUAUAUAAUCUUUAAAUAUGUCAGUGUUCCCCAUUAUAUUAUUUAAUCCUCAUAACAAUCCAGUGAAGUGCGUACCGUUAUGCGCAUUUUGCAGACCGAUAAAGAUUACAAAACCGGUACGUGACAGAGCCAACAUUUGAAGCCAGGUGUUUUGCUCCAGAGCUGGUGCUCUUAACCACCAUGGUGAACUGCCUCUCUAAGAUGACCAGUUCAAGGACAAAGGAGCUGAUUUUUCUGUUCUCUAUUUUAUGCAGAUGUGGACAAAGAAGCUUCCACAGGGCCUCCCUAGAGGAGGGGACAGAAGGGCGACAAAGAAGCAAAUCAAUGAUUACAAAACGCACAGGGUGGUUUAGAAACAGGAAGAGAGGCUACUGAAACCUGCCAUCCAUCCAUUUGACAUUGGGAAGUGAAAAAAGUGGAGGAAAGAAACCUGAUGUGGAGAUAAAUGCAAUUUUGUAAAUGGAUGUGACCUGGAAAACAUCUCACAAACUUAGCAGAGCUUUAGAACUUCCCAUGUCUGCCUCCAAAUUUUCUUUCUGGUCUCCUCUGUGAGCACACGUUACAUCACGUACCCUUUCCCCAAACAACCUGGAUAAUGUUCUGUUUCCUCAAGCAUCCUAUGGAGUCAUUCCCUUGUUGUUUCUUCACCCAAGGUAUGUACUUUUUCUUCCAUUUUCUGCCUGUCAAUCAAAAUUUUAUUCACCCUUUAAAACUCAGCCCAAGAUGCAAAUACCACUUCCAUUGAAGGCAUCCUUAUUUUUUUCAAGAAUUAUUCCCAAACAUUAUUAAGGAUUGGGAAUACCCUAGCCCUUUUCCAAGCCUUGGGUACAAAGUCCCCACCUUCAAGAAGCUGGAGGCAGGGGGUGGGGGGGGGUGGAUGUGUGGAAGGGAGACAGGGUGGGAAAUACACAGCAGUGUGUGACAGGUGCUGAGUCCAUUCUCAACCCUGCUAACAUACUGAUCUUUCAAACAUGCACUGUUCCUUCUCUUGAGUCAUCAUCUGCUAGAUAGUCUGACAAAUGUGCACAAGACUAUGCAAAAGAUGUGUUACAGCAUUGUUCGCUCUACCUCUGCUGCUUAUUGUGGGUCUGUGGGGCAAGUCCUCUGGGUGUCGUUUUCCUCAGAUGUGAAAUGGGGAUGAUAAUAAUAGCUUCUAUCCAGGAUGGUUGUAUUAAAUGAGUUAAUACACAUAAAGUACUUAGAAUAGUGCCUGGCACAUUUGGAGCAAUCCAUAAAUAUUAGCUAUAGCUAUUAUUACCAGAAAAGUGGAAAUUACCUAAAUGACUAUCAAUAUGGGCUCAGCUAUAUUAAAAUAAUGAGGUGAUACAAGCCAACACAAAAUAUCUCCAAGGCUUAUUUUAAAUUCGCUCCCAUUUGAGGGUUAGAGUAUGUGUGGUCAUAUAUGCACAAUAGAAAAUUCUUCUAGAAGAAUAUUCAAGUAAAUGUUAAUAGGCAUUGGCUCUGAGGAAGGCAAUGGCAGUUUAAUGGAAAGGGAAGGCCCACUUCUCAUUUUAUAACCUUUAAUACAGUUUGAAUUAUAUUGCCAUUUGCAAUGUUGUUUUUCUAAUUAUUAAAAAAACACACCAGAUAAUUUCCUUAUGAGUCGCAGCAGGAAAGGACAGAGUGGGGACUAAAAUCCAAAUUUCUUAAUACCAACUCCAGAGCUUUUAAAAUUGUAUUCAUUAUCAGUAACCUCAGUGAAGAACCGCAUAGCCUAAUUGAAAGAAAAGAACUCUUAAGUAUAUUGUGCACCUAGCAUAUGGCACUUAACAGUCAAGGAACAGAUGAAGCUCAAAACCGUUAAAUAAUUAACCUAAGGUCACGUGCUGGGAUCACGGGAGAUGGACUGCUCCUCCAGAUCUGCCUGGCAUCAUUAAGACGGACCCAGAAUUUUAAAAUGUGGAUUUAAUCCUGUGUCUUUUCUUGGCUUUUUUCCCCCUUGCUGCUCACAACCUUGUGAGUCGUGCAAAGGAAGUAAACGAAUCCCUGCGAACGCACUGUGCACACAUGCCUGGCACAUAGUAAGUCCUCCAGCGCCCAGUUGAAUUGGAUUUGAUGUCUCCUGCCCUCUUUACAUCUCUCAGAUAUUUACUCCAUGGCUAAUGCGAAUGUUGUUCUACCCAACACCCACUGCCUCCGAGAUUAUUUUCACCUGAUAGUUGUAGGAGCCGCACAUUUAAAAAAUUCCAUUUCUAAAAGCUCUAAACUCAGGCGUGGGAGGUAACCAGCCACGUUAAUGCAUGUCCUCCUGUUUACUCCUUUGGCUCUGAAAGCUCAUGUGGACUCUUUGUGAAGGCAGUCAUUAAUCCAGAGUGGGAGAGAAAGAGAGGGAUUCAGAGAAAAAUUACUCCUAAUUGCAGAGCUCUAUUAGUAUGUUUUUCUCUGCAACCUGGAGCUGAACAUUGUGAAAUGUAUUUGUUCCCAGUGUAAUUUAAAUGUGAAUUAAGCAGUGCUAUGAGCCCAGGCUGUUUGAGGACAAGGCAGUUCAUCACAUGUUUGGAAUUACUGCUCGAAAAUGCCCACCUGAGUGAAAAUGCCUCCUCUCCUGCUGGUAGAAGCAGUCCUUUACAUACUAACCAUGAUAUCAACUCUGCCGUUCUUCACUAGCUGGCAGCUUCUUGAAAUUUCUGUGGACUGCAGUUCUUUUCAUCUUUAAAAUGAGAGCAUCUCAAACUCAAGGUCCACAGCAGGCAAGGAGGGAGUCAGAGCUGACUCCACUCAGUUCUGUUUUCAGUGUUACCAAAUUUUUCUGAUUUUUAUGGGGAAAUCUCACACUUUUAAAAUAUUGACAACGAAUUAGAAAUUGUUGGCACAAAAGCAGACACGCAGAUCAAUGGAACAAAAUAGCCCAGAAAUAAACCCACACACUUAUGGUCAAUUAAUUUAUGAUAAAGAAGGCAACAGGGGAGAAAUGGUAAUCUCUUCAAUAAAUGGAGCUGGGAAAACAGCACAGCUACAUAUAAAAGAAUUAAAUUAGAACAUUUUCUCAUAUCAUACACAAAAAUAAACUGAAAAUUGAUUAAAGACCUAAAUGUAUGACCUGAAACCAUAGAAUUCCUAGAAGAUAGGCAGAACACUCUUUGACAUAAAUCAAAGCAAUAUUUUUUUGGCUCAGUCUCCUCAUGCAAAGAAAACAAAGGCAAAAAACAAACAAAUGGAACCUAAUUAAAGUUUUUGCACAGCAAGAGAAACCAUCAACAAAACAUAAAGGCCAACUUCUGAAUUUGGGAAGAAAAUAUUUGCAAAUAAUCUGCCUGAUGAAGGGUUAACAUCCAAAAUAUGUAAAUAGCUCAUAAGACUAAAUGUCAAAAAAUGCAAGAAAUGGGCAGAAGAACUGCAUAGACAUUUUUCCAAAGAAGACAUGCAAGUGGUCAAUAGGCCAUGUGAAAAGAUGUUCAACAUUGCUAAUCAUCAGAUAAAUGCAAAUUAAAACCAUAAUUAGAUACCACCUCACAGCUGUCAGAAUGACUCUCAUCAAAAAGUCUACAAAUGACAAAUGUUGGUGAGAAUGUGGAAAGAGGGGGACCCUGAUACACAAUUGGUGGGAGUGUAAAUUGGUACAGCCACUAUGAAAAAUAGGAUUGAGGUUCCUCAAAAAAAAAAAAACAAAAAACAAAAUAGACCCACCAUAUGAUCUAGCAAUUCCACUCCUGGGUGUAUAUCCAAAGAAAACACUAAUUUGAAAAGAUUCAUGCACCCUAAUUUCAUAGCACCAUUAUUUAUAAUAGCCAAGAUAUCAAAGCAACCUAAAUGUCUAUCAAGAGAUGACUAGAUAAAAAUGUGUAUAUAUACAAUGGAAUAGCACUCAACCAUAAAAAGGAAUGAAAUUUUGCCACUUGCAGGAAGGUGGCUAGAUUUGUAGGGCAUUAUGCUAAGUGAACUAAGUCAGACAGAGAAAAACAAAUAUCACAUGAUAUCAUCUGUAUGUGAAAUCUAAAGAAUACAACAAACUAGUGAAUAUAACAACAACAACAACAAAAAGAGACUCACAGAUACAGAGAACACACUAGUGGUUACUGGUGGGGUGAGGAGGGUGGAGGGGCAACAUAAGGGCAGGGGAUUGAGAGGAACAAACUAUUGAUAUGAAAUAUACCAAUUUUAUAUAAAAUAAAAUAAGGUAUAAAAGAAGGUACAAGGAUAUAUUGUACAAUGUGGGGAAUAUAGCCAAUAUUUUAUAACUGUAAAUGGAGUAUAAUCUUCAGAAACUGUGAAUCAUAAUAUUGUACACUUAUAACUUAUACUGUACAUCAACUAUGCUUAAAUAAAAUUUUUAAAAAUAAAAGUGUUAACAUA
rnacentral:lncRNA from 1 species